rnacentral:lncRNA from 1 species
GAAACCGAGGCCUAGGGAGUGUGGAGCUAGGAAGGGUGGAGCCGAGGAAGCUGCCUCCCUUGGACUCUGUCCUAGGAUCGUCGGCCUUGUGUCCACUUCCUCUCCUAGGCUCUGAGCUCCCUGGGGACAGAAGCUGUGUCUGCUCAUCGCAGCACCUGGCAGAGUACCCUCACGAGACCAUGACCACUGACGGCUCGUUCUGGGACCCAGACUCCUCUGCGGCUGGCCACCACAUCCCAGCAAGACGUUGGCCUUCCUGAUCUCUCGGCCGGCGAUUCAGGGAACUCUGCUCAGCCUCCAGGUUGUUGAGGCAAGUGAAGGCUGGGCCUGGGCCUGGGGCUCCUGGAUCUCCUCCCCAGACAGAGGGGGCGGUCCCUGGCAGCGGGACACAGCCCUCACCUGCCAGCAGGGCCGUGGGCUGCUCUGCCCGCCAAGAGACUGCACUGCUCCCAGCUGCCAGUGGAGACAGAGCCCAGGAGGCCUGGUCAGCGUUUGCCUGGGGGCUGGGAAAUGUGCUGGCUCCAGCCUGGCUCCCUCUGAGAAAGCAGGGAGCCUGACCAGCAGCCCAGAAUUUGCCUCUGUAGUGUCUGGGACUGCAUGCAAAGCAGCCUGCUGACAGAGCUCUCCCCUUCCCCUCCGGUGCGUGUUAACCCACCCCUGCCAGGGGAAGCACUGGAGGGUUUGCUCUGUGCAGUCUGUAGGCACUGGAUGUCACAGAGAAACAGACAUGUCUGGCUUCAGCCUUUGUCCCUUCAGGUACAUUGGGAGGAGCCCCUGCUCAGAAUACGGGCACACUUGGUUUGGAUUUCAGGCUCUGCCACUGAACAGCUGUGUGGGCUUAAACAAGUCACUUAAGUUCUCUGAGCUGCAUCCUUAUUUGCUGAACGAGGACAUUCACAGAAAACAUAACAGGGAUGCUAUAAGGAUAGCCACACCUUGUAAUUUUUUGUUUUCCUUAUUAACAUGUAUUAAUUAUACAUAUAAUGGGUUUUAUUAUAUUUCAGCACAUACAUAUGGUGUAUACUGAUCAAAUCCAGCCCUCCCUGAUUCCUCCUUCCUACCACUCACCUUCCCAGCCUCCAGGAAUCAUCUUUUACAUUCAGGUUCACUAUUUUUAAGCUUCCACACAUGAAAGGGGACACGCAGCUUUUGUCUCUUUCUGUGUCCGGCUUAUUUCACUUAACACAAUGUCCUCUAUUUCCGACUGUUUGUUUGCAGCAAAUGACAACAUUUUGUUCUUCUUCAUAGCUGAAUACUACUCUGUUGUGUAUAUACACAAUUUAUUUAUCCAUUCAUCCAUUUAUAGGCUCCUCAGUUGAUUCCAUGUCUCAGCCAUUGUGUACAGUGCCUCAAUA